CCUCCUUCAGAGUAGACGAUGCUUCUCUAUUGUCAUUAUUUCCCUCGUUCAAUCCCAGAUUGUCUUGGAUGUAAGCUGCACAGAGGUUAAAGGCAGGACCAGUAAUUUUGUGGGCAAUUUCAGGAUUGAACAUAAUCUGACUUCGAUGAUCAGUCUGGUCGAAGAUAAUGAAAUUCUUCGGGCAGAUGCUAGAGGUUUGAAAUUCAACACCAUGAAAAGGUUUAAAGUGAUUUGCCUCAUUAGGUAAAACUGCCCCAUACGCAGAAGCAACUGGAAUGUGCAUGUAAUUAUUACCCACUUGAUUUGCAAAGGGCGGAGCUGCCUUUUUGGAAUUUGAACUUGAAAGCAGGAAGGGAAGCUUGUGACUUUUGCCUAGAGGACAAGAAUGACAUAGAGCAGAAGUCACAUGGCCAUGAAUUGGCAAUUUAUUUCUAGCAACUAAAAACUUUAAAAUAGAAGAAGAGGGAUGCCCUAAUCUAGAGUGCCACACGGCAUCAGAAACGCAACCACCAUAAAAUGCAAAAACGCCAUGUUUAUUGUUUGAUGAAAGACUGGAAAAAGGAUAGAAGCCGUUCUUACUCCGGCCUUGCAAAAGGGUUUUCCCUGUUGUUAAGUCCUGAACACGAUAAAAAUGGGGAUAUAAGGUUAGGGAGCAGUGGUUAUCCAUAGUAAAACGAUUGAUAGAAAUAAUAUUGGUAGAAGCAUUGGGACAAUAUAAGGAGUUGGAAAGAUUAAAGGUAUGGAAGGGAGUGCGAAUAUGUGAGUGACCAACUUUAGAGAUAUGCAAACCUGUGCCGCCAACUACACCAUUCACAUGGUGAUUUCCAUUGUACUAUCGGUGAUCAGUUACUUGUGUCAGAUCAUUCGUAAUAUGAGCAUUAGCUCCAGAAUCAAAGAGCCAAUUUUGAACUUGAGGAGGAGCCGCGAGGAGAUGGUCAAGAGCAUGAGCAGCGGCAGCAAAAGCCUGAAGCUUGGGCGCAGAAACACGACCUUCGUAUGCCAUGUUCAUACGAUUGUAGCAAUUGAUAGCAGAGUGACCAGGUUUGUGGUAGAUUUGACACUGAACACGACCAUUGGGAUUAAAGCCAUGACCUUGCUGAGGGCCAACACCAAGGACACCAUCAUUAGGAGCAUGAGCUCCUAGCUAUUGAAUCAUGCCACGACCACCUUGAAAAGGACCACGGCCGCCAAGACCCGCAACAGCCUGAAAACCACGACCACGACUAGCACCGGCCUGAAAACCACGCCCUCCACGGCCAGCAACGAGGGCAGUAGGGGCAGCAUCAAGAUGGACCAUCUGACUCAUCUUUUGACGACGUUCGGCACCGAGAAGCAAGGCCUCCAAAGCACCAUAGGAGAUGGCAUCCUCUCGAGUUUAAGCAGACGAGACGGUGCUUUCAUACGCAAGACCAACGUUGUUGAGAACAAUGGCUACCAAGUCCGAGUCUGAAACAGGAGACCUCGAGAGAGAUAGAGUGUCAGCGAGAGAGUUCACACAGUCCAAAAAAUCAGCAAUGGAUGAAUCACCACGAUGCGUGUUCAUCAGAUCACUCCGGAGUUGCAAAAGACGACCAGUUGAUGUGGAAGCAUAACGCUCACGGAGAGAAGUCCAAGCGGAGUGAGAACUAGUUUUGCCAAUAAGAAUGGCCAAAAUAGUGGGGUGAACGGAACUGUUGAUCCAUGAUAUAACCAUGGCAUCCUGCUGCAUCCAGAGUUCGAAAGCGGGGUUGACAGCAGUGGUGAGAUUGCCGUCAGUAUCUUUGAGAAAAGCUGAAGGACACUGACUAGUGCCAUUAACGAAGGAGACGAGGUUCCUGCUACAAAGCAGGGGGAGCAUUUGCGCAUGCCAAAGAGGGUAGUUGGUACGAUCAAGCUUGAUCGUCAAAAAAUUGGAGACAUUAGGGAUAGCAGAAGUGGGUAGGGCAGAAGAGGAGUCGGAGGAGGAAGACGCAGAAGAGGCCAUGUCAAAAAAAAAUAAUAAUUUUGCUAGGGUUGUCGUGAGACUUUCUUAGCUCUGUGAUACCAUAAAGGAGAAAUAAUCACACAUAAGUUUACUUUGUAAUCAUAUGGAUUAUAAUUAAAGUUGGGUGUAGCAGAAAAAUAUCGUUCGUAAACUAUUAUUUCAAUUAUUGGAAUUGUAUGAGGACUUAAAUGAUUAAAAUAGGGAAAUGCAUACUAAAAUUUACCAAUAACGAUGUUUAAUUAUCAGAAAACGAAAAUUACGACAAAUUUUCUUUUGUAAUUUUCAAGUUGUUAAAAAAACAUGUAGACGGGUGAAAAAUGAGUAAAUGGGUAAAAAAGGAUAAACGGGUAAACGGGUAUGGUUAUGGUUAAAUGGGUAAACGAUUAUGGUUAAAUGGGUACACGGUUAUGGGUAUGGUUAACCAUUUAUAAACGGUUACGGGUUUGGGUAUAACCGUUUAUGCAAUUAUCCAACGGGUAAAUGGUUAUGCGGGUAUGAAUAUGAACGAUUAUGGGUAAAUAACCGUGGUUACCCGUCCACCAUAACCAUUGCCCAUCCCUACUCCCAGAGCAGGUUGCAUAUAUCCAAUGUAAGUACCAAUGCUGUUAUACCGACUUCUUUCCAUUCUGGUAGUAAGGUCAUAUCUCUGUCAAGUAAGGUCGCACUGAGAGAGAGAACACCAAGGGCACUCUCUCUUACCCUCACUGACCCACAUUAAAAAGGAGGCACAUUAUGUUUGCACCCUAUUUUCGGAUACUUUCAUCUUGCUGUAAAUUUAGAUGUUCUCUCUUUGUUGGUCCGUCUGCUUAUCCUUUUCAAAUGUUGGUUCAUCUUAUGCAAAUAUUGAUAUGCUUAACAGCCUGCUGCCUAUGUGCAAUGGACCACCACAAAUUUCUCUACAUUAUGGUUGUUAGGACAAUUGAUUAGGUUGCAGGAUGAAUUUGUCUUUGAUGAAGGCACUCCACCCUAUACAUAUUCCUUUGCAAGAUGGAUGAUGAUCUCAUCUUUCAAUCUUUCUGGUUUCCCUAUUUAUAAUUUAAUAUUUCUCAAUUAAUUCGCUAGAUGUGGAUGAUGUUUAUUAAUUAUUUGUUCUUACUUUUCACUUCAGCCGAAACCCCCGAUUCAUUUUAUAGUUCUUUCAAUUAAUUUGGAAGUUUUGAUUUUUUUUUUUUUUUUUUUUGGUGAUAGGUUAACCAUCUGUUGGCUAAAACCAAUUAGUGACCUCUUGAUUAACCUGCACAGAUUGCUCUCUGGGCAGCAAGCAUUUUGUUUGAAUCAAGAGGCAUAGGUGGGAGAGGAAACAGAGAGAACCCAGAAAGAAAGGGCAAAAGAGACAGCUUCCUCCAUGCAGAUUAGGAUAAGACUAAGAGACAUGCAACGAUUAUACUAAUCGUUUCAAAUGGUACAUGAAUUUCCAACUUCGCCGUUUUUUGCAUGUUGCUACAGUAGUUUAAUUAAUAUUUGUCCCCAAAUUUUAAUUCCUGCGUUCUCAUUCUAUCUAAAGAUUGUUGUAUGAUUUUAUUUUGAACUUCUUCGUUUUUAUUUAUUCUCCUCCGUUUGCAUGCUCUUCUUUCUUUAUUCUUCCUAUUUCUUCACUUUAAUUUGUAAUAUUUUUUUUUUGUUUUGAACUUAAGAAUUUUGUUUUAUGUGAUUGAAUCAAGAAACUCCACAUGGUUGUAGAAAAAAGAAUUAUUUUGUUUGUUGUAAGUUCAUAAAAAAACUUCAAACUCUGUUUUCCUUUUUUUUUUUUGGGUUUUAUUAGUUUUUAUGAAUUUUAAUAUAUUUUGUAAAUGAGUAAUGAGCAAUUUUUUUUUUUAAAAAAAAAAAAAAAUUACCAGGUUAAUGCUGGGUUUUAUGUUCUAUUUGAUGGGUUUUGGUCAAAAGUGGUUCAGCUAUUUUGGUUUGAUUGCUCUGUUUUAUUUGCUUUUAGGGUUUUGGAGAGUUUGAGUUUGGGGCAAUGGGGUUCAAGGUUUAUUUGUGCAAUACACACGAAUGAAAGAAAGGUCGAUCUUUCCAGUUCGGUGGAUUUGAGUUUGGAGACUUUGAACCCGGGUGCUUCUAAACAUCUUGAAAAAGCGCUAGGAAGGACGUUGUUAUUAAUGAUUAGACCAACAAUUAUCCACAUUCUCUAAAUAAGAUUUCACCCAAUAUGAAGUAAACCCAAUACUUAGAAUUUUAUACAUCUCGAACAAUCGAAAAAAGGGGGUUUUAAUGAAAAAUUCGUGAUACUGUUCACUUUAACGAAAAACCACAUUUUAACAAUAAAAAGUCAAACAUGAUACUAUUCACUUUACCUUUUAUUUUGUCCUUAUCUUUAAGGGAGCAUUUUUGCUCACCACCAUAAAUUAUGGUGUAUGCUCACUAUAUAUCUAAUUAAUUGACACGUGUCAUUUCACUUAAUUCUAGUUAACUUUCACAUUAAAUGUUAGUUUUUCAAUUUUGAAAAAAAAAUAACCAAGAUUAAGUGAAAUGACACGUGUCAAUUGAUUAAGUGUAUGGUGAGCAUACACCAUAGUUUAUGAUGGUGAGAAAAAAUGCUCCCUAUCGUUAAAACUCAAAGUUUUCAAACCCUUUUCAUUAGUUUUCAUUUGAAAAAAAUUGAUAUCACCUUUGCAUUUGUAUGUUAUCACUGUAAAGAUUAUUCUUUUGAUCAAUUAGAUGUCUCAUUUUUUAUAAUCAAUGCUUCGGUUAGCUAUAAAUCCACACACCAUUUUCAUAAAAUUUGUUUUCUGCCAACAUAUUAAUUUUGCUCAAUGAUAAUGCCAUAAUUGGAAUAUUUUUUUUUAUAGAAAUGAUGCAAUGGGUUAAUCUGAAAUUCAGUUUUGGAGAGUUUGAAUUUGGGGCAAUGGGGUUCAAGGUUUGUAUGAAUCAUUCGUGCAGAAUAGCCAAUACACACGAAUGAAAGAAAGGUUGAUCUUUGUAGUUCGGUGGAUUUGCCAAUCUCUGCUCCAAGUGCAGGUAAUUUGUUAGCCCCCUUAGAUUUUGCUUACCAAGUUUUAAUUUUUCAACCAUUUUUAAGUUGUGAUUUUUUCAAUGAUGUGUUUUAUGGUGUUUGAGUUUGGAGACUUUGAGCCCGGGUGCUUCUAGACAACUUGAAAAAGCGCUAGGAAGGAGGUUGUUAUUAAUGAUUAGACCAACAAUUAUCCACAUUCUCUAAAUAGGAUUUCACCCAACAUGAAGUAAACCCCAUACUUAGAAUUGUAUACCUCUCGGACAAUUGAAAAAAUGGAGUUUUAACGAAAAGCCGCGAUACUGUUCACUUUAACGAAAAACCACAUUUUAACACUAAAAAGUCAAACCUUAUACUAUUCACUUUACCUUUUAUUUUGUCCUUAUCGUUAAAACUCAAAGUUUUCAAACCAUUUUCAUUAGUUUUCCUUUGAAAAAAAUUGAUAUCACCCUUGCAUUUGUAUGUUAUCAUUGUAAAGAUUAUUCUUUUGAUCAGUUACAUGUCACAGUUUUUAUAACCAAUGCUUUGGUUAGCUAUAAAUCCACACACCAUUUUCAUAAAAUUUGUUUUCUACCAACAUAUUAAUUUUGCUCAAUGAUAAUGCCAUAAUUGGAAUAUUUUUUUAUAGAAAUGAUGCAAUGGGUUAAUCUGAAAUUCCGAACUUUAGGUGAUGUUGAACUUAUACAUGACUGCUACUGCACAUGCUCCUCUUUUUUGGUUGUUAGGUUUUAUUUUUAUUUCAUUUUUUGGUAAAUACAAUUGGUUUUGCAAAGAACUGACUUUUAUCUUAUUUAUAGUUCUCUAUGCAUGUAGUUUCACCUUUUUUGAUCUCGAGUAUCCGGUUGGCUUUAUUUAUCAAGCACAGAGUUGUGAUUCUGAAUGCUGACAUGAUUAACCACAGGUUGGUGUUCCUUGAGAACUUGGUGCGGAGAAGUGCAAGCAUGUUACAGCGUAUUAUAGGAAUAUUACUACUACUUUUUUUUUCCUUUCUGUAAAUGAUACUAGAUUUUAACUGAGAGCAGAUUGUAUCACACAAAAGCAUUGUUUUGCAAUCAUAUUCUGUAUUUUGAUUUUCCGGUCAAGGAAUUUAUAUUCAGGUUCAUAUAACUGCUUUCUAGAAGUACUUCUAUGUUUUUUAGGAAGCAUUUGGACUUGGAUAGGAACUUCAGACAUGUUCAAAUAAAUGCACUUCUAGCAGAAGCGCUUAAAAGCAGAAGUGCUUCGUAUAGAAGGGGUUCCAAACUAAAAAGCCCUUUGUUUCAUUGCAAGUUGAAGAAUUGGUUUUGGAUUUCAGGUCAGGCUUUCUAAGUACAUUGGGAAGAAGUAUGUGAUUCUCUUUUUUAACCCAUUGCACUUCACAUUUGUUUGUCCUGCAGUUAAGUAUGUUUUCACAAUCAGCAUUUUUGCAUACAAAUUUUGAAUCUUUAUUAGAUGCUUAUCUAUCUUAAUGUGAUUGAUUUGCUAAAAUUUGUGCCCCCACCUUGCAGAAAUCACCGCUUUCAGCAACCACCAUGCUCAGUUUGCGGAGUUCAACAUAGAAAUCUUGCAUUUUUUAGUUGACACUGUGGUGUGUUGCCCUGCUCCCCACUAUCUUCAGUACCACAUAAAAGGGUUGCAAUUUUGCGUCCAUAGAGUUAUUUGUUUUGAAAUCCCAAAUUGAAUGAAUUUUGUGUUAUAUAUCUCUAGACAAUUUUCCAGGAAAUCCCAUCCCGGUUCUCCCUAUUCGAAGAAAAUUCUUCAACAGGCUUUGAUUUCUAGGUAACGUAUGGUUUUCAUUCCCGCUGCAUCGCGCUGGGCAUUUCUCGCUAGUAUCACUCUAUUUUUGUAAAUAAAAAUACUGCAACAAAGUAACUUUUAGACAAUUAAGCUAACAGGGAACAGAUAUGCAUAAAUAAAUAUUAGUCUAAGCAGUCAAGAGUAAGCAGGAUAUGACAUGGUUUCCAUCAAGCCGCCGUUGCAGCUGUGGUUCUGAAUUUAAUCUAAGUAAGCAAGCGGGGUCUGCAAAUUCAUUGUUGAAGCCAAAUUUCCAGGAAUAUUUCUCAAGUUGAUGACCACAGUAAACUUAUGAUCAAUCAGUCUCGCCCGAAUGCAAUUCUUCUUUUGUUUUCAUUGAGCAUAUUUUAAGCAAGUACAAUAGACAGGCAUUUUUUCACAGCCUAUGGGUUUUCUUGGUAGUACUUAUAGCCUAUAGGCAAAGUGAAAAAGCUCACCUCAGCCCUUGAUUAAUACAUUACAUAAUUGGAUAGGAAGCUUGCAUAGCGAGGCCACAAACACCUUCUGGGGCAUCGGCGUUUCUAAGAAUCUUCAUGUAACCAUUAUCACCCCACCUUUCGGCCCAUGAGUUCUUGAUUAACCAAUAGGGGGUGCCAUCUUCCGUUGUCCCAUACCCAAUGAUGGUAACAGCGUGGUUCAAUUCUGUCCCACAACUAUCAUCAGUGAACAGGCCUCCGGAAUAGAGCUGAAAGGCUUGUGAGGCAGCGAUGGCAACGGAGACUGGUUGCACGGAUACAGCCUUGAGCAAAUCGGUUUCACUGUUGGGAGUUACCCUUGCAUAAUUAGUUAUCUUGGCAGCAGCCUCAUUUGCCAG
rnacentral:lncRNA from 1 species